CUUGGUAUUUUUUUCCGCUUUCUCUAAAACUGUCGAACCCUAGCUAAUGACUUCAUCAGCUCACCUUGUCGACCUAUUCAUUCUCCAAGCUGAAGUUCAUCGAGUCCCCGACCUCCUUCUCCGACCAAGCCGACUGGAGCCGCCUCCGACCUGACCCCGAGUCCCCGACCUCACCCCGUGUUCCCCUGCCUCGCUCUCUGACCCCGAGUCCUCGAUCUCGUUCUCCAGACCCCGAUCUCGUUCUCCGCCUCCGAUCUGACUCGAUUCUUCUACACUAUAUAUCAUCAUCUGCACUCAGGGACGGAGCCACUACAGAUUGAUUUUGGUUCCGCCUUCCAGAGUUGCAGGCUCCAGCAAUCGAGCCAGCUCCCCUUUCAGUCCGCCUGAGCCACCUCCACUGCGAGUUUGCAUCUCUGCGACUACGUGAAGGAUUCAAUCCCUGAAUCUCAGGGUGAGGUGUUAAAUUGAUUACCCAACAGUCCAAUACCCAGCUUCUGUCUGUCUGUUUGCUGCUGGAAAUGAAGAGGCAAAAUCUCCCCAAGUUAAGUGGUGCUCUGGUGCUGGUGCCAUCGUAAAUCAUCUUCAUCAUCUUAGUUGCAUGUUGUUUUAAUUGGGUGCAUGUCAGACUGCUGGAUUCAUGAGUUGAUGGCUUUAAUUUCUUGGGUUUUAGCUAGAAACCCAAGUGCCCAGAUUUGCUAUAUUCCGACACUUGGAUUUGGGUGCUGAUCUUGGAAGAAUGACCGAAGCAACUUCCUAUGUUUUAGAGGUGUUUGUGCUGAUCUUGCGUUCUUGGAAUCGGAAGAGGAGGAGAGAAGACUUUUAAUUGAAGAGUCUUAUGUUUAAGCACAAGUUGUACCAGCUAAGAGAAGAGAGGAAUAUAUGAAGCCUGAGACUUUUGCUUGAUCAUUGAGCUGUUGGAUUUGAAGACUGAAGUUGGGGACAAUAGAAGUGCUACCUGGUUUCUUCAGGACCUAGCCACUGAACAAGAGGCUGAGGGAAGUGUAGUGGUUGAGCAGUUGAGUGGCUGAGGUUCCUGGGCUAUUUUACAGAAACAUACCUGCUGUUGCUACAAUUCUAGUUGGCCAAAUGGUUGGAUUUCAAAAAGACCACUUGCUUAUCCGAAUCAACCCUGCAAUUUCCAAGGGGUGACAAGGGAGGGAAGCACAAAAUACUGUGAGGAUCGGGUUGAAUUAAGGGAGUUACUACAGAUGUGCUAAUUACUGCAUACGAACCCAUUCAUAUCAAAUAAGUAUCAAGAGUUAGUUUCCAAAAAUGAUAGUUUGUUUAUUACUGAAUAUACAAUAAAGAAAUUGCCUCCUAUAUUGAAACAAAUAUGUCUUAUUGUAUAUGCUUACUGAACACAGAUAUUAUAUGGACAAAUCUAGUAAGAUUGAUGGUUGGUCCAAUAGCCUAUACAAUAUUGUUGCCCGUGCACUGUGUUUUCAUAUAAUAGUCUGCUGAUGAUGACUACUAGUUGAAAUUAUGGGUGGCAAAUUCACAUCAAAUCAUUGCCAAAUCUAUAUGUAAUAAUUUAAGUGUGAAAUUGAAAAGUAUACUCUGUAGGUUUCACAUUACAUUAUCAUAAACUAGAUGAAACGAGCAAAUUUUAAAUCUUAAUUGCAGCUUCAUCAUUGUCAACUUCUUUUUUUUUGGGUAUAAAUUAGACUGCUGUAUGUAUUGUAUGUGAUCUUGUUGAAUCUAUGCACUGAAUAAGUACAGUCCAGGUAAAUUGUUUUGUUUAAUAUUUUUUUCGUUCGAUUCAAGGUAUAUUAUUCUUUUCCAGCCUUUGGGGAUGAUUUUGUUUUUAGUUGAAUGUGUUAAGACUUUAUUGAUAACUAAUAAACAGAUUAAGGAAUACAUUUCUCAGAUUCUAUUACAUCUUGAAUAAAGGAAGGAAUGUUAGACCAAAAGAAAGCUUGAUCAAAAUCUGCAGCAUGAGCUGCCAAUUUGCGCGCAGCCAUGUUUGCCUUUGGGGAUGAUUGAUCAAUGUGAGAAUUUUUUUUUUUUUUUUUGGAGGGGGGGGAUUUGGGAAUAAUUAUAUACACAUAAGAUCCUUAGAAAGCUAUUUUUUCUUAUCACAAAUGAAUGAACUAAAAUUAUUUUAUAGACUAUGAAGUUUGAGUUUCUGGGCUUCCAAUCAAGUGGAAUGGUACUUCUUAUGAAUCGAGACUACUUUUGAAGCAUUUUGUAUUGAGUUCCUAUCAGGAUUUUCAUUUCAAGUUUGAAAUGAUUUUAUUAAAUGUUUGCUUUCAUGGUUGUCUUUUGUCUUGUAUUAUCAGCCUUACCAAUUAAUACUGUGCUUAUUGUUCAGAUGUUUAAAGACAGGAAUCUGGUUACACAGCUUGUUAGAAGGGCUGAGAGGGCUGGUUACAAGGCAAUAGUCCUCACUGCUGACACUCCAAGGCUCGGGCGCAGGGACGCUGAUAUCAAGAACAGGUUUACUAUGACACCAAGUUUGACAUUGAAAAACUUUGAAAAUUUGGAUCUUGGAAAGAUUGAUGAGACCAAUGAUUUUGGAUUAGCAUCAUAUGUUGCUGGACUAUUUGCCCGCUCUCUCAGCUGGAAGUGGGCGGUAAAGGAUCGGAAAUGGUAUACCCAACAACAACUUGACGAGGUGCGCAUUGAAGUAGCCGACUACUUACAGACUGCUGUAGAUUCUGACUAGUUUCUUGAUUUUGAGUUAGACUAGCUUUUGAUUAACUUUUGUGUAGCAAUUAUGAACAAAAAUGAAUACUAAUUGCUAGGCUAGCCUUGUAGUACGUGAGUUGGGGUUUUAUUUUGCCCAUUUUGUAAACUGUUUAGGAUGUGAUUUCAGAUAAAAUAUCCCAAUAUUCAAAUCA